rnacentral:rRNA from 1 species
AGAGUUUGAUCCUGGCUCAGGAUUAACGCUGGCGGCGUGCCUAAUACAUGCAAGUCGAAUGGUAGUAGCAAUACAAACCAUGGCGAACGGGUGAGUAACACGUAGGCAACCUGACUUUAAGACGAGGAUAACCGUUGGAAACGACGGAUAAUACUGGAUAGGACAUCAGAAAGGGCAUCCUUAGAUGUUUAAAGGUUAUUAUGCCACUUAGAGAGGGGCCUGCGGCGCAUUAGCUAGUUGGUGAGAUAACAGCCCACCAAGGCGAUGAUGCGUAGCCGGACUGAGAGGUUGAACGGCCACAAUGGAACUGAGAACGGUCCAUACUCCUACGGGAGGCAGCAGUAGGGAAUUUUCGGCAAUGGGCGCAAGCCUUGACCGAGCAACGCCGCGUGAACGAAGAAGUUAUUCGUAAUGUAAAGUUCUUUUAUCUGGGGAAGAAAAAACAAAUUGACGGUACCAGAUGAAUAAGCUCCGGCUAACUACGUGCCAGCCGCUGC